AUUGAACGCUGGCGGCAGGCCUAACACAUGCAAGUCGAGCGAGCGGCGGACGGGUGAGUAAUGUAUGGGGACUGCCCGAUAGAGGGGGAUAACUACUGGAAACGGUAGCUAAUACCGCAUACUAUCGGAUAACCCAUAUGGGAUUAGCUAGUAGGUGAGGUAAUGGCUCACCUAGGCGACGAUCCCUAGCUGGUCUGCGAGGCUGAUCAGCCACACUGGGACUGCGAAACGGCCCAGACUCCAACGGGGGCAGCAGUGGGGAAUAUUGCACAGUGGGCGCAAGCCUGAUGCAGCCAUGCGGGGUGUAUGAAGAAGGCCCUAGGGUGUAAAAGUACUUUCAGUCGGGAGGCGUUACCGACAGAGGAAGCACCGGCUAACUCCGUGCCAGCAGCCGCGGUAAUUC
rnacentral:rRNA from 1 species